AAUAACAGCUAUAUCACCCUGCAACUCACAGCUGGUAACCUAUUAAAGCCAAGCAGGUGUGAGCCUGCUCAGUACCUGAAUGGGAGACCUCCUGGGAAAAACUAAGGUUGCUGCUGGAA
rnacentral:rRNA from 1 species